AUGACGAUGACAUAGGCGCGGGGCGCUCGUA
rnacentral:sRNA from 1 species